GGGGCCUGCGCUCACGGACUUGUCCUGCAGAAACCCUGACUUAGCCAGCUGUCUCUUUGAGGACGUGGCUGCGUCCCUGCCUUCUGCGGGUGGUCAGGACAAAUCAAGUGGAAUGACCGCUCGAAACAACAUCCAAUAGAUGGCGGUAUUGCAACAGAAUGGACUUAGAGCUGCUGUUAAAACAGAAGAAGAGAUGAUGAACGAGUUGAAGCGCAGACUUGAGAAAGCAGGUGAGGAAAAUUGGGGAUAUAGAACGGGCUGCGCAGCCAGGAAAGUUGGGGAACCGCUGGUGUAGACUGAGACGAGUUUGUUUGUCUGAAGUGGUUUCACAGAUAAGAAGACGUUGCUCCAGAAUGUCGCCGUCUACUGGCCAAAGAUAGCACAACCGAUUGUACUUCACAAGUGCCCAAAGUCCUGUCGAAGCAGUUGAAGUCAGAAGACAAAAUAAGGGAUUUGAACUAAUGUGUGGAGCUCUGUGUGAUACGUCAUGGCAGAGUGAAAACAUCCUGCACUGGUGAAACGUUUGACAGCCAUGUACCUCAAAAGGCACAGUCCAGACUCAACCUUUUAUUGAUUCUGCGGAGAGUUGCACACUUCCACCAGGGAGUGUGGGGUCAGAGGUUAAGAGUGUGGGCUGUGGAGAGCAGAAGAUUCCUCAGAAUGUGAGAACCGCGCAAAACGGGGGUAUUUCUGAAAUGAAUUCUCACAAGAUCAUGUCAAGGUCGCUGGGGGAACUAAAGGAGUCACCGCAGAGAGUGGGCCGCACCACGGACAGGUUCAGUUCAUCACAGGGUCCAUGAAAAAAGAUGGCUAAGAUGUUCUCUGUGGAUCAGAGGUAUGACGAGAGCUAGUUCUGUCCCAGGUCUUCGUUAUGUUACCACCGUCGAACCUCGAGAUAUUAUAGUAUUUCGAGAUACGAGGAAGCCUUCGAGCAAAUUUUUGCUUUGAGAUACGAGUAAAGAUUUGAGAUACGAGCACGCUUACAGACGCUGAGGCUAGGUGGCCCAGCACUCGUUCACAUCACGUGUUCGUCGACUUCCGUACGUAUUUCUUGCGAGCCUUCCUUAUUGUGUUUGCGUUACCACUCUAUCGAGUUUUUUCUGUUUGUUUUCAGAAAUUAGAAACAUGUUUUUUCCAUUGUUAUUAGCACUAAUAAGGAGUUUUUGUUAGAGGGUUAGGACAAAUUUAGUUUUUUUCAGUUAUUUCUUAUGGGAAAAAAUUAUUCGAGAUACGAGUCCCUCGAGUUAUGAGCUCGGUCCUGGAACAGGGUUUGAGGUUCCACUGUAUCUCCUUUUGUUGUCUCCCGAUGACUUCAUAUCGGUGCAUCGGGCUGCCACAGCCAUUAGGAUCAGCAAACCUGGCUGAAACAACACUCAGUAUUUAGAUUCAGGUGAGGUGUGAGUUUGGUCAUUCCACGUAUCCAUCAUCAGCGACAGCUGCCAGCAGAUGCGGGAAUGGAGCGGAGCGACAGGAACAGGAGCCAACAGAACACAAUGAGGAGGCAGCUGUGAGCUCCCAGUCAGAUCCAGAGAGCUGCAAGACAGAACUGAGCCCACAGCAUAGCUGUUCAGGAGGAGCAAACAACAAUACGUCAACUUCAGUGGUUAGAUAUUUGUUCCCAUCUGGGAAGUGCUGUGGUUAUGUGUUUUUGACAAUAAUAAUAACAAUAAUAAUACUUGAGUUUCCUGAUGUAUUCUUAUGAACUGAACAGGUGUUAUUCCGAUGUCAAUCUCAUUCCGACUCCCUUUGAUAAAUAGCCCGACUAAAUGUUACAAAAGCUUCAACCACGCCUGUUUGUACCGUCGGCAGUUCCACUGUCGGCUGACUUGAUGUUAAGAAGACGUUGGUUUGAGUUUUCGGUACGUGACGAGUGUAGCUGAAUGAUGAAUUCUGCCUUUGAAACGUUCCCAAUCCCAUAUUUAUCACAAUGCAGAUGGAUUUCCCAUCACACGGAACACAUCCCUUUCUAAAUAACUCAGUCAGCCACUUGAGAGUGAAGAAUGACUUGAGAGUGCAGUAGUGAAUUUGACAGGCAGUGUCCGAGUCCAUUCCCUUUCAGGCUUCCUCGCCCUCUGCCUCCCCACGUUUUCUUUUCUCUUUCUGCGUAAUUAAUUCUGAGAAAACCAUCUUGUUCUAACCAGGUAAUGCAGGAUUUCCUGUCUGUUUCUGCAGCACUUGUAUCCAUCUUCUUUGUGGUUAAUGGUAAAUUCACCUGUACUGUACAGCAGACAGCCUCGGAACUCAGAUGCUUCCAGAUGAGACCCAGUGUGUGAAUAAUGUUUACUGCUUUGCAUAAUGUUCAGUGUUGUUGUAUAUUUGUGUGUGUGUGUGUGUGUGUGUGUGUGUGGUGGAGUGGCUGUUCUGAGCCAAGCCAAGCACCACUGCCUUUGUAGGGGGAGGUGUGCCUGACAGGGACAUUGUUGGUGCAUUACUGUCCAUUGAUUUAAAAUGAUCCGUGCUGCAAGAGGGUGUUUGGGUCUGAAUACAGAUUGGGAGAGCAGACAACUGGGUGUUGAUUAGUUUUUAUGCACUGUUUAUUUUUGAAAUUUCCAGUUUUCCGCCGCAGCACGGAGACACAUGGAGCAUUCUCCAUGAGAACGCCGUUACAUAUUUCUCUGCUAAAACGCCAAAUAAAUAGAACUUUUAGUUGCAAAUAUUUAUAAAAAUGCAAAAGACCAAAUGUCAACACAGUCUAAUGUUCCACGGCAGACUGAUGGGACGUCAGCGCUGCAUAUGUUUCUUUUAACCAGCAGUGUCACAGACGGGCUCCAACUCUUACUCUGUUCUCCUUUCCCCUGCUGAGGACAUGUGUAAUUGUGUUCUCCACCAUCACACACACACACACACACACACAAUCGUUCAUGGAGUACGAGUUCCAUUACGUGAAGGUUCGUAGUACAUUCCAGAACCUCAUUCUGGCCCUCAAAGUGUGUUCACUGAACUUUCACAAAUGACAGGGAAGCAUUUUUUUCAGAAUUUCAUUUUAGGUUUCUCCCUCCGAUCCUGGCCAAACAGGAAGAAAAAGAGACAUUUCUAAGAAUGAACUUUGUCACUAAUCAUCAACAAAGGAAAUGUAACAGCAAAUUAAUUCCUCUGAUACAAGAUAAAUGAGGUCUGUGGGUGGCCUAUAGAAUAUUGGAAAUGCAUCAAGUGCUUUGGAAUUAUAGUGCACUGGGAAGAAUCUAUCUAUCUAUCUAUCCUUCCAUCCAUCCAACUGCCCAUUCGUCCAUCCAUCCAUGUAUCUCUCCAUCCAUCCUCAUAUACAGAAAGAAAAUGUAGAAAAUGCCCCUUUUUUAUAAACAAUAAUAAAAAGUUUUACGGUUCACAAAAAAGUAAGAGAGUGAACUACUGAGGCCAGUGAGCCUGUCUAAUGUAUUCAGUCAAUCGUCACUGUAGUAUUUUCAGCACAAUGACAGAAAAUUACUUUUCAUAAUACAUGAUGUUGCGCUUGGUGAUUUCAGCCUGUCUAAUGUGAGGAUAAUGGUUAGAAAGGUUUUUUUCGUAUGUAGAAAAUUGAAUCACAUCUCCUGAGUCGACUGGAAACGGGAAGGGACGGAGUUAAAAAUAAGGAUGGUUAAUUGAACCACCUGAUAGUUACAAUUCUCUACCAGCGUGUAUAAUAAUAAUGGUUCCAUGAAAAACAAAAAAAUAUAUAAUUUCACCUAGCACUGUAAGUCCAGUCAGAAAUAUAUCAUAAAACAUGUGUUAUAAUGCAGGAGAGUCACAGUAAGGUUUGUGUUAGGGAUGUACCGGCCGACCUUUAUUAUCGACCCCAUAUUGGCAUAAUUAUGUAAUAUCUCUAAGAAUCGUUAUCGAUUUUUUCUUCCAGUAAUGAAAAGCUGAUAACGCAACGUCUGCGUUUAGCUUAAUAUGCUGGAAACUCUUGUGGCGUCCUGAGACGUUUACUACAGUUUUUAGGAAAACAUCGCUGCAUAUAUACAUGGUUUCGGUUGAUAUUGUUAUUUAUGAAACACAAUCAUUAAAAUAAUGUCAACCAAUCGUGUCAGA